GAUGAACGCUGGCGGCGUGCUUAACACAUGCAAGUCGAACGGGGAUUAUUUCAUUGAAGCUUCGGCAGAUUUGGCUUAAUCCUAGUGGCGGACGGGUGAGUAACGCGUGGGUAACCUGCCUUGUACAGGGGGAUAACAGUCAGAAAUGACUGCUAAUACCCGCAUAAGCGCACAGGACCGCAUGGUCCGGUGUGAAAAACUCCGGUGGUAUAAGAUGGACCCGCGUUGGAUUAGCUAGUUGGCAGGGUAACGGCCUACCAAGGCGACGAUCCAUAGCCGGCCUGAGAGGGUGAACGGCCACAUUGGGACUGAGACACGGCCCAGACUCCUACGGGAGGCAGCAGUGGGGAAUAUUGCACAAUGGGGGAAACCCUGAUGCAGCGACGCCGCGUGAAGGAAGAAGUAUCUCGGUAUGUAAACUUCUAUCAGCAGGGAAGAAAAUGACGGUACCUGACUAAGAAGCCCCGGCUAACUA
rnacentral:rRNA from 1 species